AGUCUUUUCUUAAGACCUUUGCAUUAUUUUAUAAUAACAGUCGUGGAGCAGCAAGGCCUCCAUCCGUACAGCCGAAGUACAGGCUGACGGCAGGACAGGCGGAAUUGCUGUUAGCAGUGCUGAAGGCACGGAUUUGUACAAUCCAGCUUUUUUUUUUUUUUUCCUUUUUUUGACAUGGUAACACGCUGAGGUGUCUGAGGAGAUUCCCGUAUGUCAGUGCAAUCCAACAUGCUUCUUGUCACUCGUGUGACCUGCAUGGCUUCCAGGGAUCCAUCACUGGGACAGAGCGACUCUCCUGCAGCCUUGCCAAUCGCCGUGCGCCUCUUGGGCAGCUCCGCGUCCUCAGCUGCGCCUGCGCGGCCGCCUCCACCUCUAUCCACAGAGGAGCUCCACCUGCUCGAGCCCAAUGGCCAGGCGCUCUGCGAGCUGCAGCCCCUCGGGGCGUCCAGUGCACACAUGAUGAUUGUUGCCAGCCAGUCAGAAAAUGGCCAGGUGCUUCAUGUCAUUCCUUCUGCCCAGCCAGGAAUGGCCCAGGUGAUAAUUCCUCAUGGUCACCUUCUGGAUGUCACUGGCACUCAGGAUGCUUCAGAAGAGAAGUGUGAUGAUGGGAACUUGCAGACUGUGGCAGUGGCUGCUAUAGCAGACAGUGCAAGCAGUUACAUUCUCCAUCCACAAGCAUCUCUCACCAUAUCAAAAAAAUCAGCAACCAGAAUAUUAGAAGACUCCUUUCCCAUCCCUCUCCAGCCCUUGCCAACAAAUGCACCUGCUUGGGCGCGUCGUCUCUGGAACUGUGAGAAAAUUGGGGACUCAUACCGCGGCUAUUGUGUGAGCGAGACAGAAUUAGAGAGUGUUCUAACGCUACACAAGCAGCAAACACAAAGUGUGUGGGGGACACGCCAGUCUCCAAGCCCGGCCAAACCCGCCACACGGUUGAUGUGGAAAUCCCAGUAUGUCCCAUAUGAUGGGAUCCCCUUUGUCAAUGCAGGAAGCAGAGCCAUUGUAAUGGAGUGCCAGUAUGGGCCAAGGAGAAAAGGGUUCCAGUCUAAAAAAGCUGGUGAGCAGGAAAGCACUUCUGGCUAUCUAUACAAAGCCACUUGUCCAGCAAGGAUCUAUAUUAAAAAAGUUCAAAAGUUUCCGGAGUACAGAGUUCCUACUGACCCUAAAAUUGACAAGAAAAUCAUAAGAAUGGAGCAGGAAAAAGCAUUCAACAUGCUGAAAAAGAACUUGAUAGAGGCUGGUGGUAUUGUCAGGUGGUAUGUGCAGUUACCCACUCAGCAAGCCCACCAGUAUCAUGAAAUGGAAACUUCCUGCCUUCCUUCUUCACCCUCCCAUUUUUCUGCUGCUUUUCCUGAGGAGGAGGAGGACAUUGGUAGAGAUGAGAACUGCACUCUGCCUUCCCGCCUUCAUCCCCAAGUGGCAGACAAGAUCCGAGAGCUGGUGUCUCAAGGAAUAGAGCAAGUCUAUGCAGUGAGGAAGCAACUGAGAAAGUAUGUGGAAAGAGAAUUAUUCAAACCUGAUGAGGUGCCAGAGAGACAUAACCUAUCCUUCUUUCCCACUGUGAAUGACAUCAAGAACCAUAUUCACGAAGUGCAGAAGUCCCUGAGAAAUGGUGAUGUGGUAUAUAAUUCAGAAAGCAUUCCAGCGACGCUACAGUGGACCACAGAUGGUGGGAAUGUUCUCACAGAAACUGUGACUGUUACGUUUGCCUCACCACCUUCCAAUGGAAGCUCACCAGGGGAGUCAGUCAUCACCAAAGCAGAAUCCAACCAGAGCGCAGAGACCCUGCUAUCAGAAAAAGCUCAGCUGUUGUCUUCUCUCUCUUCACUUCAGCCCAAGAUAUUUGCACAAUUUCAGGGAUUACAGAUGCAAUCAAACUUUACCUCCACAAAUGGGUCAACAGCCCUGAUAGCUGUAAAUAACCAUUCCCAUUCCAAUUCUGCAAAUCUCUUGGAUUCCAUAGAGAGUGCAGUAACCAACCAUCCUCCAGUACUUGGUCAGGGGCACAGUCUGCAAAAAGGUGCUGGCCUAGCACAGCACAGUGCUACUGCCUCUGCUUUUGGGACUCCUCCUGCCACUGAUCAGAAUCUGGUCACCAUGGGCCACCUGGUAGCACUUGACAGGGAAGGGGACUCCAGAAGCCUAGAAGGAGGAAUCCAGCAAGUUCUCUUGGGAGAUGUGCAGACUAUUCCAGUACAGAUUGUGGAAAGCCAGCCUGCACUUCAUGAAAAUAAUACAGAGGCUGGUAUCUGUAUGAGCCAAGUUAAACAAGAGCCAAGAGAAAAAGCGCUGUCUGUGGAGCCGGAUAAAAUCAGAGACUGCCAGAGAUCCUCCUCUGUUUAAAUCUGUGAAGGCUGUAAGGAUUUUUCAAGUCAGAGGACUCUAAAUGCCUUGGGAAGAAAGGCAGGUCAGAAGCUAUCCAGCAGGUCUUUCCAACAAGCACCAACUAAGGUAUGAUUUGUGGGAAGAGAGGGAAGGCAAAAAUUGUAUCACAUGACAGGAGUGUGGGUGGGUUGGUUUUCUAGAGCUAGAUGAUGCGUCUUACUAUCAUUCCAUUUGUAACCCAUCUAACAAAUUACAUGUUUAUUUUUUAAAGUGAUUUGAUGUGUUUUCUGAGGAGUCUUCAAAGGAAUUAUAAUAACAGUAAUACUUUAUCAUAGGGGGUAUUAGUAGGUGUUUGCCAUAUAGGGUCACAUCCUGUUCUAGUGCAGUAAGAGGUUAAAAAUCCUUGAAAGCUUUCUGACAUCAAGUACUAAGUGUUCUUCUCCCAAGGGGUCUUCCCUGUCUAGAAAAUUAAGUGCAUUGGGUGCUGCAGCAGUAAAACCUCACUAACCAGUUGUCCACUAAUCUAUACUAGAUAGAAAAAACCUUGCAAAAGGCAUGUAUAUGACAACUGGAGCAAAACUUUUUUCCAUACUGGGGUUUCAAUUAAUAUAUGCACAUGGAUUUGUAUACAUUAAAGAAACUAAAAACAUUGAGAAGCUUGUGUGGUUGACUAAUACAGUUUUAGUUACGCUUGACUGUAGUUAAAUGAUGCAUGUAUUUUAGGGAGCAUAUAAUCAAGCCCUUUAUGUAGAUAACUGAAAUUCAUGUUUUUACUACUAUCAUUGUUAGCAAUCUACAGUGCAGUUCACUUAGUAAUGUGCUGGCUCUUGUUAAUGACUCUCUGUUCCAUCAAGAAAUUGCUGCUCAAAACAAAUUAGGUUUCUUGCUCUUCCUUCUCAUUUUUCUAGUAGAGAUUGUUAAGGAUGAAAAUCUUUUUGUAGCAUGGUUAUUUGUAAGUAUUGAGUUUUGUGUUCUCAGUGUGAAGGAACUUGAAAGCAAACAUUUGCAUACUAUUGGAUCUGCCAUUCGGUUAUUUUUAUAAUACACUCAGCUUCCUGCAGCAUCACGGUGUCGAUAGAGCAUGAGUAACAUUCAAAUGUUAUCAAUAUUUCACGUCUGUUCUUUGUUUAAGUUUUGUAUUCAGUGGUUCCAGCAGAGAUCUGGGACUUUGCUUCUAGUCUUUGUAGAAUAGUCUGCCUCUACGUAUUAUUUAAAAUGUAAUCAGGACAAUCAAGUGGCGAAGGAGGGACGGAAACAGAGCUCUGUGUGUCAGGGGAGAUCAGUGGGAGAGAAGUGCAGCCCCAUAUACAGGUCAGUGUGUUUAGAGUAUGCACAAGAAAAAGCACAGCAGUUGUAGAGCCAAACACACACUAGAGUGGGGAUGGAAAUAAAUGAUGUCAGAAUCCUUGUUCUCACCACCUUCCCCAUCACAAGAGGGUACCUCCUUUGCAUUUGCAUUAUCUGACCUGUCACCUAACAGCAAGUCAGUGACAACAUCUGUGAACUAGAGUUUGUUCAUGAAUGACUGGGUCACAUCAAGUCUAGAGAUGGGUAAAUUGUAAAACAAAUUUUCUUUGCACUUGGAGUUGAUAUUAUAUUAUUGUAUUAGUGAAACCAAUGAUAUCACAAAUGGCCAGUUCUCAAGAAAAAGAGAAAGAAGAGAAAGCCUUUAACUGAAUUUGGUCACUCAAGUUUGUGGCCUAACUGAGCUAGGGACUAACUCUGAGGCUGUGUGUGUAUCCUGCAGUACUUCUUGAGCAGAAGAAAUCUUUUUUUUUUUUUUUUUUCUCUCCCAACUCCAAGAAUGUCAGCUGCGUUUGUGAUCUCAGUGACUGUAGAGCUCAUUUUUAUCUCUUCAAGCAUAGCUUGUGGAAUUCUGUUUUCCACCAUCAGGGGAAAUGGAAGUCAACUUGUAUUAAAACAUGAUGGACAGUGUCCGAGUGUCCGUGCUGAGUGAACUGACAGCAUGUAGGACAGCCACACUCAAACAUGCUGUAUUUAAGCUGUGUUAGGAAUGGGAGCUGAGAGAAAGAAUAAGCAAUCAAAGAGUGUAAUGUUAAAAGCAAGCAUCAUUGCUUCUCAUAGUGUACCCUUUUUUAUAAACAACAUGAGGAGAAAUACUGGUCAGACCUUGAACUCCUUCAUCACCAGCCCUCUCUCCACAAGAAAAAGAAAAAAUACCUACUCUUAAAGUUUAACAGUGGGUUUGCUAAUUAGUCAGAAAUCUUCCUGGAAAUUAGUUUCUAUCCUAGAUCUGAGUGUCCAUUUUUUAUUUCCUGAAGAACUAUCGUAAAAAAUCAGUUCUACUUUACUGAGGUGCUGUUCUUUCAGAGAUAAAUGUAACUGUUUCUCAGAUAUUUCUUUUAAAACUAAAAUUAAGUGAGAGAGUGAAAAAUUAGAAAUUCUGUAUUUCUUACAAAUGACACUCCAGUUCUCUGAAGAGUGCAGGUGCUUCCUCCUUGUCUCCUACUUUCAUCUCUUAGUUCACUAGUUGUCGGAUGUUUUCUUAGGAUUGCUUACCUCUGAGAGUGCUCCAGAUAAAACCAGCAAGAAUCCAGAUUGGAAGCAGAAGAGGAAGUUAAGUUUGUACAAAGCUGCUUGCAGGAGAUAGAAGGCUAUCAAAGAUGGAGCUCAGGAUUGCAGUUUCUUCUGACUGAAGUGGUUCACUUUGAAUGGUAAACAUUUUUAUGGUAAGCAGUUGUUUAUAGCUGAUCUUAGUGCUAUUUAUGCUAUGAGCUCACAUGUAGUAAAAGCUAGAACGAUAACCACGUGUAUUUGCUUUAUCUUCAGUGUGGUAGUUAUCUUCUGAAUGCAAGCUGGUAUAACAUCUGUCUUUUUUAUUGUUGACAAAGCUGCUACUGCAUCUGAGUUUUUGUAUGUGGAAGGAGAUGGAGGAAGGUGAGAACUGCUUGACUUCCUACUGAGAAGAGAUCAUCUGAGAAAUGAGGGCUUUACUAGUUUUAAAAGUGCAUGGUGAGAGGGAAGGUUUUGCAUUAAUUGGCAUUUCUUUCUCACUAUCCAAAUCUAUUUUAACUGGCGAUAAAUUAAAUUGAUUUUCCCCAA